rnacentral:rRNA from 1 species
GAUGAACGCUGGCGGCGUGCUUAACACAUGCAAGUCGAACGGUGAAGCAGAGCUUGCUCUGUGGAUCAGUGGCGAACGGGUGAGUAACACGUGAGCAACCUGCCCCUGACUCUGGGAUAAGCGCUGGAAACGGCGUCUAAUACUGGAUAUGAGCUGCGACCGCAUGGUCAGCAGUUGGAAAGAUUUUUCGGUCUGGGAUGGGCUCACGGCCUAUCAGCUUGUUGGUGAGGUAAUGGCUCACCAAGGCGUCGACGGGUAGCCGGCCUGAGAGGGUGACCGACCACACUGGGACUGAGACACGGCCCAGACUCCUACGGGAGGCAGCAGUGGGGAAUAUUGCACAAUGGGCGAAAGCCUGAUGCAGCAACGCCGCGUGAGGGAUGACGGCCUUCGGGUUGUAAACCUCUUUUAGCAGGGAAGAAGCGAAAGCGACGGUACCUGCAGAAAAAGCGCCGGCUAACUACGUG